UACGAAGGGGGCUAGCGUUGCUCGGAAUUACUGGGCGUAAAGCGCACGUAGGCGGCUUUCUAAGUCGGGUGUGAAAUCCUGGAGCUCAACUCCAGAACUGCCUUCGAUACUGGAGAGCUCGAGUCCGGGAGAGGUGAGUGGAACUGCGAGUGUAGAGGUGAAAUUCGUAGAUAUUCGCAAGAACACCAGUGGCGAAGGCGGCUCACUGGCCCGGUACUGACGCUGAGGUGCGAAAGCGUAGGGAGCAAACAGG
rnacentral:rRNA from 1 species